CAUGUACUUUAACAUUAUUUUGAGCUCUCAGACAAUUUUGUUACAGUUUUACACUUGAUAAAGGUUUCAUGAAGGGCAGUGCAGAGCAUUUCUGGUUAGUAGAACCAGAGCUGUGCAAAACAGUCUUUGUGUAAAUUAGAUGACUUCUGGCAUUUUGACUGUCACAUGAUC